UACGUAGGGUGCAAGCGUUAAUCGGAAUUAUUGGGCGUAAAGCGUGCGCAGGCGGUUGUGCAAGACAGAUGUGAAAUCCCCGGGCUUAACCUGGGAACUGCAUUUGUGACUGCACAGCUAGAGUACGGCAGAGGGGGAUGGAAUUCCGCGUGUAGCAGCGAAAUGCGUAGAUAUGCGGAGGAACACCGAUGGCGAAGGCAGUCCCCUGGGCCUGUACUGACGCUCAUGCACGAAAGCGUGGGGAGCAAACAGG
rnacentral:rRNA from 1 species